rnacentral:rRNA from 1 species
UGGGGAAUUUUGUGCAAUGGGCGAAAGCCUGACACAGCGACACCGCGUGAGCGAAGAAGCCCUUUGGGGUGUAAAGCUCUGUCAGCAGGAAAGAACAAAUGACGGUACCUGCAGAGGAAGCAUCGGCUAACUACGUGCCAGCAGCCGCGGUAAGACGUAGGAUGCAAGCGUUGUCCGGAUUUAUUGGGCGUAAAGAGUUCGUAGGUGGUUUGUUAAGUCUGAUGUUAAAGAUCGGGGCUCAACCCUGGGAGUGCAUUGGAUACUGGCAGACUCGAGUAUGGUAGAGGCGAGUGGAAUUCCCAGUGUAGCGGUGAAAUGCGUAGAUAUUGGGAAGAACACCGGUGGCGCAAGCGACUCGCUGGGCCAUUACUGACACUGAGGAACGAAAGCUAGGGGAGCAAAUGGGAUUAGAUACCCCGGUAGUCC